GAUGAACGCUGGCGGCGUGCCUAAUACAUGCAAGUCGAGCGAACAGAUGAGGAGCUUGCUCCUCUGACGUUAGCGGCGGACGGGUGAGUAACACGUGGAUAACCUACCUAUAAGACUGGGAUAACUUCGGGAAACCGGAGCUAAUACCGGAUAAUAUAUUGAACCGCAUGGUUCAAUAGUGAAAGACGGUUUUGCUGUCACUUAUAGAUGGAUCCGCGCUGCAUUAGCUAGUUGGUAAGGUAACGGCUUACCAAGGCAACGAUGCGUAGCCGACCUGAGAGGGUGAUCGGCCACACUGGAACUGAGACACGGUCCAGACUCCUACGGGAGGCAGCAGUAGGGAAUCUUCCGCAAUGGGCGAAAGCCUGACGGAGCAACGCCGCGUGAGUGAUGAAGGUCUUCGGAUCGUAAAACUCUGUUAUCAGGGAAGAACAUAUGUGUAAGUAACUAUGCACGUCUUGACGGUACCUAAUCAGAAAGCCACGGCUAACUACGUG
rnacentral:rRNA from 1 species